ACACAUGCAAGUCGAGGGGCAGCAUCCUCUAAGCUUGCUUUGAUGGAUGGCGACCGGCGCACGGGUGAGUAACACGCAUCCAACCUGCCGACAACACUGGGAUAGCCUUUCGAAAGAAAGAUUAAUACCGGAUGGUAUAGUUUUCCCGCAUGGGAUAAUUAUUAAAGAAUUUCGGUUGUCGAUGGGGAUGCGUUCCAUUAGGCAGUUGGCGGGGUAACGGCCCACCAAACCUACGAUGGAUGGGGUUCUGAGAGGAAGGUCCCCCACAUUGGAACUGAGACACGGUCCAAACUCCUACGGAAGGCAGCAGUGAGGAAUAUUGGUCAAUGGACGAGAGUCUGAACCAGCCAAGUAGCGUGAAGGAUGACUGCCCUAUGGGUUGUAAACUUCUUUUAUACGGGAAUAAAGUUAGCCACGUGUGGUUUUUUUGUAUGUACCGUAUGAAUAAGGAUCGGCUAACUCCGUGCCAGCAGCCGCGGUAAUACGGAGGAUCCGAGCGUUAUCCGGAUUUAUUGGGUUUAAAGGGAGCGUAGGCGGGUUGUUAAGUCAGUUGUGAAAGUUUGCGGCUCAACCGUAAAAUUGCAGUUGAUACUGGCGACCUUGAGUGCAACAGAGGUAGGCGGAAUUCGUGGUGUAGCGGUGAAAUGCUUAGAUAUCACGAAGAACUCCGAUUGCGAAGGCAGCUUACUGGAUUGUAACUGACGCUGAUGCUCGAAAGUGUGGGUAUCAAACAGGAUUAGAUACCCUGGUAGUCCACACAGUAAACGAUGAAUACUCGCUGUUGGCGAUAUACAGUCAGCGGCCAAGCGAAAGCAUUAAGUAUUCCACCUGGGGAGUACGCCGGCAACGGUGAAACUCAAAGGAAUUGACGGGGGCCCGCACAAGCGGAGGAACAUGUGGUUUAAUUCGAUGAUACGCGAGGAACCUUACCCGGGCUUAAAUUGCAACUGACGGAACCGGAAACGGUUCUUUCUUCGGACAGUUGUGAAGGUGCUGCAUGGUUGUCGUCAGCUCGUGCCGUGAGGUGUCGGCUUAAGUGCCAUAACGAGCGCAACCCUUACGGGUAGUUACCAUCAGGUUAUGCUGGGGACUCUACCCGGACUGCCGUCGUAAGAUGUGAGGAAGGUGGGGAUGACGUCAAAUCAGCACGGCCCUUACGUCCGGGGCUACACACGUGUUACAAUGGGGGGUACAGAAGGCAGCUACACGGCGACGUGGUGCUAAUCCCAAAAGCCUCUCUCAGUUCGGAUUGGAGUCUGCAACCCGACUCCAUGAAGCUGGAUUCGCUAGUAAUCGCGCAUCAGCCACGGCGCGGUGAAUACGUUCCCGGGCCUUGUACACACCGCCCGUCAAGCCAUGAAAGCCGGGGGUACCUGAAGUACGUAACCGAGAGGAGCGUCCUAGGGUAAAACUGGUGAUUGGGGGU
rnacentral:rRNA from 1 species